rnacentral:rRNA from 1 species
GACGAACGCUGGCGGCGUGCUUAACACAUGCAAGUCGAACGGAAAGGCCCUUCGGGUACUCGAGUGGCGAACGGGUGAGUAACACGUGGGUAACCUGCCCUCAGCUUCGGGAUAACUCCGGGAAACCGGGGCUAAUACCGGAUAUUCAUUGUCUGCCGCAUGGUGGGUGGUGGAAAGUUUUUUCGGCUGGGGAUGGGCCCGCGGCCUAUCAGCUUGUUGGUGGGGUGAUGGCCUACCAAGGCGUCGACGGGUAGCCGGCCUGAGAGGGCGACCGGCCACACUGGGACUGAGACACGGCCCAGACUCCUACGGGAGGCAGCAGUGGGGAAUAUUGCGCAAUGGGCGGAAGCCUGACGCAGCGACGCCGCGUGAGGGAUGACGGCCUCGGUGUAACUCUUCUAGCAGGACGAAUGUAGACGGUACCUGUAGAAGAAGCACCGGCCAACUACGUGCCAGCAGCCGCGGUAAAAGUCAACGUCG